UAGGUUGUCUCCUUACCCCUCUAUCUCUAGCUGUGAGAAAUGAUGUUCCUGGAGGCUGAGGUGUUCGGUAACAGAUGAGGACCGCAGAGGGCAGGAACCCAGCCCCUUAGGCUCACUAAUCCACGUGUCUUUCAGGGCCAGUUUUCUCCACCCCAUAUGGAUUUCCACCAGGAUGGGUGGGAGAAGCUCCAGUAACAAUCAACUUCCAUGAGGGGAAUGCUCCAGUUUCCUCUUCCAAACACCCGGAGGAGUUUUUGGUGGUGUAGGAUCCACCAUUCCAGGUGUGCACAGAUGAAGACCAGUAAAGAAACAUCAGUCUCACCCCUUGGUUUCUUAUCCAUGUCUUCAGAGGAGGACCAGAGAGCUAAGGGGAGAUGAGGAAAAGAGUGCCCAAAGAAUGGAUUAGGUCACAAUGGACCUCUUGGGUUCUCCGGAUAUUGACUGUGCAGCGUGGAUACCGACGGGAUUUCUCUCCAGCCCUCUCCAGAGACUGAGCUAGGAAUAAUACCUUGCCCACAAUCCAACAGUGCCAUUCCCUUGAGACUAAAUAUUAUAUUUCCAGGUGCUGUCUGCGGUCUCCUCUAGAAGUGAUGGGUUGGUGUGGGCUAUGUGUGUGCAUCAUGCGGUUGACUUUAGGAUGUGAGGGUGCUGUUCAUUCAUUGAAUCAU